rnacentral:tRNA from 1 species
AAUGGCUGAGGAGAAGAAGGUUCCUUUUGGGGGGUACCCCCGGGAAGAGAUCCAGUGGAGACGGGGUGGGCCUG